UGUAAUAGGAAGUUGGUCAAAGAAGUCAAGAGAAUAAGAUAAACAGAAACAACCAAUCUGUGUUUGGAUAUGGACUGGCCAACAGACUUGUUUUUAAAAAUUUAAGAGAGAAACUUGGACUCGAUCAACGCAGAUUCUGUAUUUCAGGGGGUGCCCCUUUACCUAAAGCAGUGACUGAUUUCUAUGCUGGUUUUGAUAUUGCUCUAUUGCAGUUGUAUGGAAUGUCAGAAACUUCAUCAGUAGCAACUGUGAACACUCUUGGUAACAGAUAAGCUUUCAAUCAGCUACACAUGUACAUGUACA